UACGUAGGGGGCUAGCGUUGUCCGGAUUUAUUGGGCGUAAAGAGCGUGUAGGCGGCCGAGUAAGUCCGGUGUGAAAGUCAAAGGCUCAACCUUUGAAUGCCGCUGGAAACUGCCUGGCUUGAGUCCGGAAGGGGCGAGUGGAAUUCCUGGUGUAGCGGUGAAAUGCGCAGAUAUCAGGAGGAACACCAAUGGCGAAGGCAGCUCGCUGGAACGGUACUGACGCUGAGGCGCGAAAGCGUGGGGAGCGAACAGG
rnacentral:rRNA from 1 species